CCUACGGGCGGCAGCAGUGGGGAAUCUUCCGCAAUGGACGAAAGUCUGACGGAGCAACGCCGCGUGAGUGAUGACGGCCUUCGGGUUGUAAAGCUCUGUUAAUCGGGACGAAAGGCCUUCUUGCGAAUAGUUAGAAGGAUUGACGGUACCGGAAUAGAAAGCCACGGCUAACUACGUGCCAGCAGCCGCGGUAAUACGUAGGUGGCAAGCGUUGUCCGGAAUUAUUGGGCGUAAAGCGCGCGCAGGCGGACUGGUCAGUCUGUCUUAAAAGUUCGGGGCUUAACCCCGUGAUGGGAUGGAAACUGCCAAUCUAGAGUAUCGGAGAGGAAAGUGGAAUUCCUAGUGUAGCGGUGAAAUGCGUAGAUAUUAGGAAGAACACCAGUGGCGAAGGCGACUUUCUGGACGAAAACUGACGCUGAGGCGCGAAAGCCAGGGGAGCGAACGGGAUUAGAUACCCCUGUAGUC
rnacentral:rRNA from 1 species